rfam:Triticum urartu cultivar G1812 contig966198, whole genome shotgun sequence.
AAAAUACUCCCUCCGUCCAAAAUUCUAAUCUUAGAUUCGUCUAGAUACGAAUGUAUCUAAUACUAAAACAUGACUUGAUACAUCCAUAUUUAGGCAAAUAUAAGACAAGAAUUUUAGGACAGAGGGAGUAAUUG